GAGGUGGACUCAGAAACAGGGAGAAAUCUGCUUCACAGAACAACAGGAACUCAUUAAACCUGGAGCUGGAAGGACCUAGGUUACUGCCAUGCAGACUCUUCCCCAAGUGAGGGAAGAAGUGGGGGAAAGCCUAUUAAAUAAAUAGCAAAUAAUGAACAAGAUCAUAUCAUAUGAAGAAAAGAAAAGGAUGUCUACUCCAGGUAAAUUCAAUGAGACAAGCAUGCCAGUAUGAAGCUUGUGAAGACCAUCUCAACACUAGAUCAAGAAAAAUGGACUUUAAAACCAUUGUCAAGUUCAUGCUUGAGAUUGAAGACCCACCAAAGGCAUGGAGCAGCCAGCAUGCAUACUUACUUUGCCGGUAUUUGGCUAGGAAGCCACCUCCUUGUUGACCUUCAUCUGUCCUGAAUUUUAAAAACAUGCUGUCUCCACUAGAACGGAUG